rnacentral:tRNA from 1 species
GCGAGAUCCGCUUGCUGGUUGCCAGUCGCGCGACUGAAACUCGUGCACGUGUUUGACGCAGGUUCGAAUCCUGUCGCCCGCA